CAGCGCAAACCAGCAUUCCAUCGGGCAGGUGCAACUUUAACACUAACUCAAUUAUGAUAACAAGCUCAAACUAGGCUCGCAACCAUAGUGUGAACACACCUACAAUCUAUUUGUCUGGUGUUACUUAUGGUAAGAACUUCAAGUAUGAGAUAACGGAAAUAUGGCACGUGUGCAUGACAUCUGCAUAAAGAGACCGUUGCCUUACAAACUGUUGGUCAGUUUUCAGACUCUAGGAUGUCCCAAAGCUUGAAACCAGGAUGAGAGUAACAAAAAGUAAGUAGCUCUACGACUGUUUGACUGAUAACUUCUGAGCAUCACAAGUAGGCGUGCCCGCGUACAUUUAUUGAGGGGCGUGGCAUAAAAGAAUUGCUUUGGCGACCAACAUUUCUUAGGUUUUUCGAACCUGAAGUCUGUCAUUGAUAUUAGCUGAAAUUAACUCAAAUUUAGACACAAUUGAAUGCACCCAAGCGAAGCCGGGCAAUUUAGCUAGUCAGUAUCUAGAGCGCGCUUUACUAUCACGCAUUUCUAGACCGCCUUCACCGUUGACUGAAACGACACUCGCGACGCUCGCGAGGACAAGACUCCGAGUAGGUGUCAAAAUGCUGACGUUGACGCUAUAUACCAUUCCAAUAUCAUUUGAUGAGCGUCAAAAAACGACGAGCCACUAUACGCGCAUGCUCUAAUAUGAUUCGUAUAUCUAGACCAUGAAUACAAAAGUCUGUGAUUUGGUUUUCAUUUCCUCCCGCACCAAGUUGUAGCGGAGACGCUUCCAUUUUUUUGCAUCCUGCCAGGCUGGGCGCCUCGCAUCUCUAGGCUACCGUGACUUGAUCUGCCACAAGCAUCCAUACUUUUAGACGUAUGCACUUUUCGUAGGCACUUUUCGUAGGCUUCUCUUCCAUAGUUUACUUCCGGUUAUUUCACUCCCGGAUUCGAUUGCAUUCCUGGGGUCCGCAUUUGUCUUGGAACAGUUUUUAGUGCUUCACUCUUAUUUUUACCACAGGGUGGGACUCACGCAUUGUUGAGGCCACUACAGUGCCCAGUGCCAGAUCCAGGAAUUUUUGAAAGAGGGGAUUCACAGUUAGCAGUUAUCUAUGGCAUUACUAAAUGUCUCUUUUCUAAUGAAAUUAUAUGAAAUUAUUGAACCACGCCUAUUGGAAAAGAGGGGUUUCAACCCCCAACCCCCUCUGGGUCCGGCCCUGGUGCCAUAUCAUACCAUUAGACCUGGUUUUUGCGUUUUUGCUACACUUUUACUUAUGGUUUCGCUUGUGAUUGGUUUGACGAUUUUGUGAGCAUCUUCUUCAUGUUUCGCAGAAUAUUCUUCACAGCAGUUAGAACAUGAAACAUGUGCACGAACUGUACAACAACUGCACCACGUCUUUCUGCAACUUGAUCACGCAACCUAGAGGACCGUUUCUGCAGAUGCUUCUACAUACAUGGUCUGUCAACGUGAUCUGGUGCCAACUGAAAGAUCUACAGCUAACGGAAAUGAAAAUACAGUGAAGUCAUCAUGCCUUGCACAAUCCGUGCAAUAUGGCAAGCAACUGAGCUCUGGGUAGGUAGAAGUACUUGAGUCUGAACGUGGUGGCUUAAUUGAACCAGUUGGCGGUUGAGGCCGAUUCAUCUGCUUCUCAAAGCGUAAUCAACCUUGCGGUCAGGAAGAACUCUACCAAGCAUUAUACACUUGGAAGAGAUGAUGAGCACGGUUUCCAGUCAUUUUGACCAGAGAUUCAUUGGACAAGGCUGAUGAGGAAUGUGAUGAAGAUGAUGUUUCAGCUGAGAUAGUCUGGGACUCGACUACAUCAAUCUGACCAAGUCAGUCCCGUCGAACAGGAUAAUGUUUCAGCUGAGACAAUGGGGGAUUCAAACUUCAUCAAUCCAGCCAGAUCAGUGCAGUCUGAACUUGAAUAUUCAUAUCCAUCACAUUAUCUCAGACCAAUCCAUAGCGAUAGCAAUAGCAUGACGUCAGUUCAGUCUCAACUUUUGCCAGAAGAGCAACUUUGCAACUAUAUAAACCCUCAAUGGCCAUGUCUUGAUUUUCAAACUGCAACGUCUGAAAUCUGCCUUUUGAUGCAACAACAUGAUCAGCCACAAUUUUAUAUAUUUUAGCAGCUUAUGAUCAAGUAUCUUAGAGAAUUCAAGUUGAUGUUGCUGCUUUUCUUGACGUGAUCCUGAUGUACUCUGCAGUGAGGAGUCACUAGGGCAAUCUCUUCAAUGACAAUGUCAUAAACAGCUGAUUAGUGUAGGUUAUGCAUAUUUCUGCAUUAAUUAAUUAAAGCAAACACCAGGACCCCAAGCAGUCUGAAACCCACACUUUGGUGUGUGUGUGUGUGUGUGUGUGUGUGUG